rnacentral:rRNA from 1 species
CCUACGGGAGGCUGCAGUGGGGAAUAUUGCACAAUGGGCGCAAGCCUGAUGCAGCCAUGCCGCGUGUGUGAAGAAGGCCUUCGGGUUGUAAAGCACUUUCAGCGGGGAGGAAGGCGUUAAGGUUAAUAACCUUGGCGAUUGACGUUACCCGCAGAAGAAGCACCGGCUAACUCCGUGCCAGCAGCCGCGGUAAUACGGAGGGUGCAAGCGUUAAUCGGAAUUACUGGGCGUAAAGCGCACGCAGGCGGUCUGUCAAGUCGGAUGUGAAAUCCCCGGGCUCAACCUGGGAACUGCAUUCGAAACUGGCAGGCUAGAGUUUUGUAGAGGGGGGUAGAAUUCCAGGUGUAGCGGUGAAAUGCGUAGAGAUCUGGAGGAAUACCGGUGGCGAAGGCGGCCCCCUGGACAAAGACUGACGCUCAGGUGCGAAAGCGUGGGGAGCAAACAGGAUUAGAUACCCUUGUAGUC